rnacentral:lncRNA from 7 species
AUACUUAUCAGCUGACAGCUGUAUGGAUCAUUGAGCAGUGGGAAUGGAGUAAUCUUCCUUCUCUGCUGAUCUGUGACAUGAGGUGGUGAAAAAGGUGAAAAAAUGAGCAGGAAGUGAGGAGAUCAAUAUCAGUAUUUUCAGGGAAAGUGUGGGCCUCCAAUGGCAUGUGCAGAAGCAGCCAUCUUCAGAGAGGCAGCCAUGAGGAAAUAUACACAGAAGUUUUAAGCAUCAGCCUAGAGAAGCAUGAGCUCAAACUGUGACUAGACCUAAUCUUUCCAAGGAGCAGAUGGCCACGGCUUUGCCUCCUCCCUCCUCUGCACCAAAUGGAGUUUGGGGACAACGUUUGGAGAUGCUGCAAUUUAAAGCAGAAGACUGUUAUUUCAGACUUACAAUGUGAUUUUCAGUAGCAUAACUCUGGAAUUGAGCAGAUUCUAGAGUACUUCAGAUGCCAAAUGACUUUCCAGGAGUCAGAAAACAAAGCAGCAGCUGUGUUGCCACAACUACAGCACAACUGGUACUUUGGAAAAGCCACUGGUACCAAAGAACCUGCCUUUGUUAAGAAGAUUUUAAAACUCACCUCUUGAGUCUCUCAACAUAUGGUGCUCAGAAGAGCUUUAAAGGUUAAGAGCUACCCAAACAAAAUAUUCACUGUCCAGUAGCCCUGGAGCUCAUUACCCUUAAGUACUGCAGUGUUUAUAGGCAUGCUGAGGAGGCAAAGGAGAUGAAAUGUACUUCUGCCUUCAAAAGGGGAAUUAAUGUAUUACCAUUCAUUCCUUUUAUAGAUAAUAUUGCUAUUUAGGAAGUGCUAAAGUACAUGAUGUCUUUACUGAUUAAAUUUCCUGUGUAAGCAAGAUGUUCAUAAAGUUACAUAACUGCAUUUUUCUUCCUACUUCAUUGCUGGCAGCUUCAGUACAGGCUUCUCAAGUAUUGUAGGCUUUGCUCUGUCAUCACCUCUGAGAGAUCUGAUAGCAAGGAGAAAAGAGCAGAGGGAGAGCAGGGGAAUUGCAAAUUGAGAAGGUGUGUGUCACAUUCUUUCUAUUUGUUCUGAGAUGUACAUAGAAACUAUGCUGAAAGCCUUUUGCUCCAGGAAUCAGAAAAAGUCGUUCUUAUGCCCCAUUCUGCCUCUUAAGGAAUCAGCAGCAGUCCUCUUUCAGCAGAUACAGAAAGGGUCAGUCUCCUAUUCAGUGUAAGCUUUUCUCUGAAGUGCAAUUUGUCUUAGUUCUGGCAGCAAUUAGCAUUUUUUUUCUCAGUGUAUGUGGGGGACUUGCUCCAGAUAAUUUACAAACAUCAGGAGAAAGAAGGGAGUUGGUGCUGUUUUUGAGUUCCCAUCAGCUCUUCUUUUUUGUUGCUGAGAAAUAAGAUUGGUGUUUUAUUCCUGAUGAGCACAAAUAUUUGUCCAAAGUAACUCAAAUUGUUUAUGAACUUGACUCCAUUCAAACAUUUCUUUUUAAGGCACUGUGUGAAAUCUCUUGUUUCUUCCAUGAUGAAUAUUUAUCAUCAGGUCAUGUGAAUGUUUUGGCUGACCAAAGGAUGGAGUAUUCUGUUUUGCUUGCUUGGGUUGUGAAACAGGAAUAUCUGUAACAUGACAGGGCAUGAAAGAGCCUGAAAUGAAUUAAGGCUCUUCUUUGAUGAAUGGGCUUUUCAUUUAGUUUAUUUGUUAUAAACAACUGUGGUAAAUCCACUUUCAGUAAAUCCAAAGGAUGGUUGACGCAUACAUUUCAUAGGGAUGUGUGGCGGCAGACUAGAACUGAUGAUACAUCAUUCCAGAUGGGCUUUUUAUUUUUAUUUUUCUAUUUAUUUUUUGAUAUGUCAUUCCAGAUGGAAUUCCAGAUUCUGCAGAUGAGUCUUUUUGUUAUCAUAUUUCAGCUGAAAGAACUGCUCUGCUGUAGAACUGAUACGGUAUGUACUGUGUUUAAUCUGACUAUCUCAGCUCAGAACCUGGAAGGAUGAGUAUAUUCUCAAGAUGGAUACUUCAGGAGUCUUCUAACCAAUGUGAAUCACUUAGUCUUUACCAUGAAGGGGACAGGUUUCUUCCUGCAAAAUUUCUUGCUAAAUUGGACUGAAGUAAAUGAACCAACAGAUAUUCCGUGCUGAGUGUGGAAGUCCUGAGCAGGCAUUUACAAAUAAAACAUAUGAUUAUGCCCAG